CUGAUUACUAUUUCCUUCAUUCAUAUGAAGUUUUUCCUUCUUCAUUGUAAUGUGAUUUCCAUAAGACAGGGAACCGUUUCCAGUGUAACUGCGAAUGGAAUAUGUGCAGAAGAGUUUGACAAAGAUUUUUAACUCCACGUAGUUAAGACUCCUGUGUUGUUGGCCACACUUUGUCUGGUAGUCAAAAGAAUGCAGAUAAUUCUGUAGUCCUAUUUUCUCUCUUUGUUGUUGUUGUUUUUUUUCUCUUCCCAUUGUGUUUGACUUGUCCUCAAGUUUUACAUCUCUUUAAUUUGUUAAUUUUAUGAUGCCUUUUCUCUUCCUGUUUCAUGGAUCUGCUUUUUAUCCAGGACUUUCUACUCAACAAAUAAUAGUUAAUGGACACAUAAAACAGGAAUGACGAACGUGCUGCAGAAUGCAUCACUCACUGUCAAGGCAGUGGCAUUCUCCAGGAUAGAGAAAGGUGUUGAUAUACAUGGAAAAGGAAGCUCCAGGCAGUGAGGCAAUGAUUUUCCCUUUCAUAUUGUGAUUUUGAAGAGCCUACAGCAGUGAUUAACACUUUUCAGUAAAAUAAUAACAGCAACGAUCAGAAAACAUUCUGAGAGUGCCUGGGAGCAAAGCAGUUGAAUUGUCCCAGCAUUUUCCUAACAGAACCCAGAAACCCUAAUUAUGAUGGGUGUUUCUUCAGGCAAGCCAUACACAUUUGCUACUGAAAUCAACAACUUCAGUGCCUGUGGUGUUAUAAACACAUGGUGGGCCCUCCCUCAUGGCAUGGAGGAAAGUGCACUGGAUUUGAAAUCAGAACAUCUGGCUUGGGGCCUGGCACUCUGCCCCCGCUGUGUCUUAUUUCACGUCAGGUGAGGUCCUUUAUUUGGAAUCCAUGCCAUUGGUCAAUCCUUGUGGUGACCCCCUGAGCUAGCUGUCACCACUCCCGUUGUUUAGGCAGGGACGCCAGGGUUUUGCAGGUUAAAACAGUGCCACAUGGCUGCUGAGUGGGAGACAUCAGGCAACACAGCGCUCCUGAUCCCAACAUUCGUUUUUCUCAUUGUCCCGGGGUAUUUUUAUUACCCAUGUUUCAUUGGACAAAUACUUACUCUCUCUGAGUCUUAGUCCCUUUUAAACUGUAGAUAUUUAUAUUUGGGCUUUUGUGAAGAUCAGAUGAAAUCAUUGAAAUUGAAUGUGCUGUUUAAAGUGAAAUAC
rnacentral:lncRNA from 1 species